UCAGUCGACUCCUACGGGGAGGCAGCAGUGGGGAAUAUUGCACAAGGGGGGAAACCCUGAUGCAGCCAUGCCGCGUGUGUGAAGAAGGCCUUCGGGUUGUAAAGCACUUUCAGUAGGGAGGAAGGUAGUGUAGUUAACACCUGCACUAUUUGACGUUACCUACAGAAGAAGCACCGGCUAACUCCGUGCCAGCAGCCGCGGUAAUACGGAGGGUGCGAGCGUUAAUCGGAAUUACUGGGCGUAAAGCGCAUGCAGGCGGCCUGUUAAGUCAGAUGUGAAAGCCCGGGGCUUAACCUCGGAAUUGCAUUUGAAACUGGCAGGCUAGAGUCUUGUAGAGGGGGGUAGGAAUUUCAGGUGUAGCGGUGAAAUGCGUAGAGAUCUGAAGGAAUACCAGUGGCGAAGGCGGCCCCCUGGACAAAGACUGACGCUCAGAUGCGAAAGCGUGGGGAGCAAACAGGAUUAGAUACCCUGGUAG
rnacentral:rRNA from 1 species